CCUGCCCCUCGGCGCCCAGCCCCAGCUCCUCCUCCCCUGAAAUGGAUGUCAGCUAUACCCACGCGGGCAGAUCGACUUGUGUUUUCCCUUUGAAUCAUAGGAUGUGUGUCAGUGCGAUAAAAUAGGACUAAGACGCCGGCGUGUGGGGCAGAACCUAAGAAGUACCCCGCCGAGCGCAGUGCGGACCAGGGCCCGAGGGCUCCGCCCGGGUGCAUGGCUCCGGCGCCUCGCCGAGGAGGAGGGACUUCCGCUCCCAGAUCGUGGCUCCGGGGAUAGCGUUCGGCGCUCUGCCUGGCUCGCGGGCGGAAAAUCCGAGGGCCUCGGUGCCCAGCCGUUGAAGCCAGGCCCGAACGCCCUAGCAUUUCCAGGAAAGUGUGUGUUGGGGAUUGGGUCAGAGUCGGUUUGGAGGAACUGAAGGACUUCAGUUUCCUAAGGAGAUAGUACUCAUGUGUCCAUCCUGCUGCUCACAGGCCACACACUGCUUGACAGCAUGUGAUGAGACUUCCAGUGUUAGUGGCUUUAGACAUGUCUUGACUCUCCUGUGAGGUGCUGUGACCUACGACUGCAAGCCAAAGCGUGGACACCUGAACCUUACGUGGACAGAGCUACUGAGUCGGUACCAUGUUGCUGAACUUCGAACACACAUGAACUGCUUGUAUUUUAACCUACUUGAUGAAGUCCGUUUUAGUUUUAAUUUACUAAAGGGCGACAGUCUGUCUUUAAGUGAAAGAAACAGACACCAGAGAAAUGAUUCCAAGACUGUCUUCAGGCAGGCAAAACAUCCCAGAUCCUCUGGUUAGAGGACUCUCCAGGUCCGCAUAGAUCCUCAAACCCAGACAAGCACCCACUCCAGUGCCCACAAUUGUCACCCUCUGAGUGUGCCCUGCCUCUCUCUGACAUUGGGGCUUAGUGAAUGCCUUCCCCUCUCUAGAAGGACUUCCUUGGACCCACCUGUGACAUUACCUCAGGGGAAAUAAAUCAUCCUUUUAACCCCUGUAAUACUUCUUUCUGUCCUUUCUUACUCAGAAAUUACAAUUUCUUUUUUGCCUCCAGGACAUUGUCUAAACCAUUUAAUACACAGGCCUAACAGCAAGAUACAAAUUUUAUUAAUAAAAUGUUUUUGUUUUAAAAUAAAUUCCUAGCCAAACAUGAUAUAGUGGAACACGGGGAGCUUGAGGAAGGAGUAUCACCAGGAGUUGGAGGCCAGCCUGGACUACACCAUCAGACCCUGUCUCAGAAGAAAAUAAACUCCUA